UACAGAGGGUGCAAGCGUUAAUCGGAAUUACUGGGCGUAAAGGGCGCGUAGGCGGAUGAAUAAGUUAGGUGUGAAAUACCUGGGCUUAACCUGGGAGUGGCACUUAAUACUGUUGAUCUAGAGUAGAGUAGAGGGAAGUGGAAUUUCCGGUGUAGCGGUGAAAUGCGUAGAGAUCGGAAAGAACACCAGUGGCGGAGGCGGCUUCCUGGACUCAUACUGACGCUGAGGCGCGAAAGCGUGGGGAGCAAACAGG
rnacentral:rRNA from 1 species